rnacentral:piRNA from 1 species
UACCUGGAGCCACCACACUUUAAUUUUGUGU